rnacentral:sRNA from 1 species
UCAAGCUGGCCUCAAAUUCAGAGAUCCUCUUGCUUCUGCUUCCCAAGUGCUGUGAUUAAAGGCAUGUGCCACCAAGAUUUGAGGACUUAAAAAGUUACUUCUAUGGCCGGAGUUAACAUACCAGGAAUACCAGGCUCCAAUCCUAGGGGCUCUUUCCUAGCUUGAGCAAGCAAAAGCGGGGCCUUCUUUAGUUCAUCUCCAGGAUGCCAGCACUCAAUAUGGGGCCUGACAUAGGAUAGGCAUCAUAAAUAUUCCACGAGUUGCAGGAAUUGAGCAGCAGUGACAAGAGAAGAGCCAAGGAGCCCAGGAACACCCAGUUCUUCCCUGGCUAGCCUCAGGGUAGCUUCUCAGUGUGCCAGCCUCAGUGUGAGCCAACGGAGGGAAGCGGGAGGAAGCUGGGAGGGCUUCCAUACGCCGGGACCUGUAUUUGCGUUCAUCCCAUGUCUCUGUGCAUUAGUUUUUUGGGGGAAUGAAAGUAAUAAAUCAGAACUCAAGACUGUUCAGUGACUUA